rnacentral:rRNA from 1 species
AGCAGUCGCCGCGGUAAUACGAAGGGUGCAAGCGUUAAUCGGAAUUACUGGGCGUAAAGCGUGCGUAGGCGGUGAGUUAAGUCCGUUGUGAAAGCCCUGGGCUCAACCUGGGAAUUGCAGUGGAUACUGGAUCACUAGAGUGUGGUAGAGGAUAGUGGAAUUUCCGGUGUAGCAGUGAAAUGCGUAGAGAUCGGAAGGAACAUCUGUGGCGAAGGCGACUAUCUGGGCCAACACUGACACUGAGGCACGAAAGCGUGGGGAGCAAACAGGAUUAGAUACCCCUGUAGUCCCUGUCUCUUAUAC